GUGUGAUUGUGUGUUAUCAACAUCAUUCUGAAAUAAUACAAAUACUGUUAUCUCACUUUACUCUUGACUCUAACUUUAUCUUUAGUUUACUCAAUUCUUGGACUUUUUGUGUACUCUGGCCUUAUUUCGAGUCCCAGAACGAAUAUAUAAAUCAAGUUUUGUCUCAUUCUAUCCUCUCUGCACUCUUAUUUCACUCUGGGCCAGUGUUUCAUUUCAUUCCAUAUUGUUAAUCCAGGUAUUACAUACGUGGUACUUCAACUUCACUUGCAGAAUUUCAAAUAAAAUUGGGGAUUUUUUGUUCGUGGGGCCGUGACCGGGGGGGUGAUCGCGAGGACAAAACGGGUGUCACGCUCACCAAUUUUGACCCAAUUAGCAUCCUUGAUUUUAUCAUCACCAACUUCACUCUCUCACUAUAACACCAGCCGGAGCUGGAGUCUUCACAGCAGGAAAUACUGACUAAUCGUGCCAAUUAUCUGGACAACGACUCUCGGCAAUUCGUCACUCGGUCAAGAGAGAACAGCCCCAAACGAGGGGCGCCAUCAUCAUCAUCGUCAUCACGACAUCAUCAUGGACAGCAUGGACAGCUUCCAUGGACAAAGAUUACAUAACGUGGUUUCGAACUAAGUGGAGUAGUUGGUCUUGUCACUUUGAAAUUAUAAGUGAGAUUCAACUUCUCUACUUAUUUCGACAGCCAAGACUCUUCCCACCCAACACGUGGUCCAAGUGGUCCAACUAUCAAGAAUUUAUUGUAGUCCGUUAUAUAAGACACAAAUUUAUCCGGAAAGUAAUGCAAUAUCCCAAUGCCCAAAUAAACCAAUUUACUAACAAGACAAAAUAUAUUACUGAUUGUGCUAAA